rnacentral:rRNA from 1 species
AUGAACGCUGGCGGCGUGCUUUACACAUGCAAGUUGAGCGAGGCCGGGUAGCAAUACCCGAGUCGAGCGGCGAACGGGUGAGUAACGCGUGGAUAACCUGCCCAGAAGUGGGGGACAACCCGGGGAAACUCGGGCUAAUACCGCAUAACACCGAAAGGUCAAAGGGGCCCGCAAGGGUCUCGCUACUGGAGGGGUCCGCGUUCGAUUAGCUAGUUGGUAGGGUAAUGGCCUACCAAGGCGACGAUCGAUAGCCGGCCUGAGAGGGUGAUCGGCCACACUGGAACUGAGACACGGUCCAGACUCCUACGGGAGGCAGCAGUGGGGAAUUUUGCGCAAUGGGCUAACGCCUGACGCAGCAACGCCGCGUGGAGGAUGAAGGUCUUUGGAUUGUAAACUCCUGUCAGCAGGGAAAAAGCAACUCGGCCUCAUACGCCGGGAAGUUGAUUGUACCUGCAGAGGAAGCCCCGGCUAACUCUGUGCCAGCCGCCGCCGU